CCAGAGAUGGAUUGGUGCCUUCGGGAACUGUGAGACAGGUGCUGCAUGGCUGUCGUCAGCUCGUGUUGUGAAAUGUUGGGUUAAGUCCCGCAACGAGCGCAACCCUUAUCCUUUGUUGCCAGCGGUCCGGCCGGGAACUCAAAGGAGACUGCCAGUGAUAAACUGGAGGAAGGUGGGGAUGACGUCAAGUCAUCAUGGCCCUUACGACCAGGGCUACACACGUGCUACAAUGGCGCAUACAAAGAGAAGCGACCUCGCGAGAGCAAGCGGACCUCAUAAAGUGCGUCGUAGUCCGGAUUGGAGUCUGCAACUCGACUCCAUGAAGUCGGAAUCGCUAGUAAUCGUGGAUCAGAAUGCCACGGUGAAUACGUUCCCGGGCCUUGUACACACCGCCCGUCACACCAUGGGAGUGGGUUGCAAAAGAAGUAGGUAGCUUAACCUUCGGGAGGGCGCUUACCACUUUGUGAUUCAUGACUGGGGUGAAGUCGUAACAAGGUAACCGUAGGGGAACC
rnacentral:rRNA from 1 species